GGGUUGUGAGGUUAAGCGACUAAGCGUACACGGUGGAUGCCCUGGCAGUCAGAGGCGAUGAAGGGCGUGCUAAUCUGCGAUAAGCGCCGGUAAGGUGAUAUGAACCGCAAUAACCGGCGAUACCCGAAUGGGGAAACCCAGUGUGUUUCGUCACACUAUCAUGCAGUGAAUACAUAGCUGUAUGAGGCGAACCGGGGGAACUGAAACAUCUAAGUACCCCGAGGAAAAGAAAUCAACCGAGAUUCCCCCAGUAGCGGCGAGCGAACGGGGAGGAGCCCAGAACCAUCAUCAGCUUGUGCAUCAGUGGAAGCGUCUGGAAAGUCGCAGGGUACAGGGUGAUACUCCCGUACACAAAGGUGCACAGGCUGUGAGUUCGAUGAGUAAGGCGGGACACGUGGUAU
rnacentral:rRNA from 1 species